GGAGUGCAGAUGCAGCGAGGACUUGCGCUUUAAGCCCGUCCCAAAUCAUCAUGAAGGGGGGGCGCGGACACUCCAAAACUCCAGUGCGUAAAAGUUGAUCCACAUGGGUUAUGCGCGCACACCGGGCAUCCGCGGAUUUUAUCCUUCAAGACCUGUCAGGAUUGGAGUGAGUGAAGUGUUUUCUGUGGACUGACCGAUGGAAACAUGAGCCGAUUUUAUUAUCGCAUGCUUCUUUUCCCAUUUACUCUCUUCAGUACUGUUUUACUUCCGACUUCUGGAAAAUCCCAAAAUGAAGCUGACAGAAACGGAGAAGAAUGUCCUGACAAUAAGAUUUUAACAGUGGAGUAUCCGUGUAUCAGAGCAGGAGGAGAGCGUGGCACAUGCCUCAGGUAAGCUCUGAUCUUAAUCAUUUGACAUCACGCACAGUUUGUUAAAAGUAUUAAAGAAUAGUUAUGAUGUCGUACUACUGUAUAUAAAGAUGUAUCGAAGAUUUUGUAAACCCGUUGUUUCGGCUAGGAUUUUUCUCGCUCUACUUCUUGUUCUUCUUCAUCGUCAUCUUAAGAUUAUUCGCAUAGAUUUGCACGAGACCCGAAAGCCAUUUCAGGACAACGUGAACAGUUUUCUCAUCUCUGGUCUCUUUAGUGUUCUGUGCAUUCUUUUCAAGAACAACGAUUUUGUGUCAAACGAAGUUUUGGUGACAUAAGGUUGCGUAAUUGUGUUUUCAGUUGUCAUUAAAGGCUUAUGUAGCUAACGUUGGUGUCAUGUUUCACUGUAAAUACCAGUCUUGUGUGAAGUUUAGUGUUACUCGAAAGCAAUUCCUGUUGUCCAAGAUUACAGUCAAGAUAAUAUAUCCUUAAGCGUACAUGUCUGCAUUGAAGUCGACUUAAACAGACUGUUGAUAUUUCAAGCUCCAGAUGUUAUCUGUGACAAAUCCCAUUUUCAGAGUCAAGAGCAAAAACAGACGCCUCAGAGCCACCACUUCAUUUAUUUCUCUCAUGCCAUCAAACCUUCAUCCUAAUACAUUAGUGAGUAUUGAGCAGAGAUGUAGGAGUCUGGCUGAGAAAAGCAUCUGUUUACUGUCAGGGUUAACUCUGUUUACUGUCAGGGUUUGUAUAUCGUUUAAUCUAACUGACCUCUAUGGAUUCAAAGGGUACGUGCUGGGGGGAAUUUUAGGGACCAAACCACUGGUGAUUGGAUAUAUAAAUGCCUGUUUCUUGGAAAUUAUACGUCUGACUGAGCUGAAAUUUGGUGUAUUGCAUAUUUCUCCUAAUUCGUACAUAAUAUUCUAAUGCUAAAUCGAUUACUUCAAAAACAUGGUUGCCAUCAGCCAAUCAGAUUUCAGCAUGUGUUUGACAGGUUUAGCAUCGAGCCACUAUCAUGAAACGUGAACAGUAUGUUCAUCGAUCUGUCAUCUCUUGAGUGUUGUAUGCAAAUUUGCGAGAACUGGCCACUGGAGGCACUACUAGGGGAAAGGUUGGACCCCGCAGAUCACCGCUUUUUAAUUCUACUUGUUAUUAUUUUUCGUUUCUUUCACUUUUACUCUCUCCCAAGCGGUAGACUGGUACGGUUUGACGACGGUGAGGACGCUCGAAUCUUGUUUUAAUUAGAGUUGCGUGAAACUCGGCAGCCUGACAGAGUGAUGUUUAAACUCUGGGAGUGUUUGUAACCAACAGUAUCUUCCAGAAACCUCACAGAAGGAACUUAUAAAGCACCUGGAGAUGAUGAGUCUAUUUGGACCAUCUGUCGCUCAGGACUGAAAGAACCGACCAGCUGCUUCAUUUAUAUUCUGCUGAAGAUUUAAGUGAAACACAUAUUUCUACACUUGGUGAUCCUGCUGAUUUAUUAAAAGUUGUGUGUGUGUGUGUGUGUGUGUGACAUCAAAGAAAGAAAAUACGAACACGGCAGCAAGGUAGAAUUUAACAUUUAAAAUGUCUUUACCAUGCAGUGUAUCACCAACACACACUUCCACGGGUUAAUAACAAUCAGAAUCAAUGCAUUCAUGACAAAAUAGAAAUGAUCUGCAAUUUAAUAAAUAUCUUUUUAAAACAGAUGCUCUGUAGGCUUUGUUUUGCUCGUUCAUAAUUAAAGGAUUUAACAACACAAAGCUCUUUCUAGUCCGCACACACUAGCUAAUAUUAACAUUAUAUAACAUAACUGUUGUUACGGUUUGUUAAGGUUGUCUAUUGAUAGACAGUAACUGCACUCUCUACUGUUUUGUGCUUUCCAAUCUAAUUAAAAUGAAUAUUUCAAGCAUAUUGGUGCUUAAAUUGCUAUUUAUUAACGUGCUUGCGAGUCAGAGUAAUGGCUUGUACUCUUUAGUGUAUUAUUCUGUUGUGUAUUUCCUGUAAUUCUUUCUCCAUUCUGGCAUGUCUCGUUGGGUUAUCUUUGUAUGAGUGAACCUAUUAUGUCCUGAGUCCUGGGCCAGGUAUUUUCCUGCAUCAUUUAUCGCAGCGUGGCCUCAGACAGCACCUGUCUCUGUGCCAUACACUCCUGUCUUACAGUUUCAUUCUCAUCCAAGAAGCAUUUACUCAAGA
ensembl:lncRNA